AAGGAUUUAAGUUAAAUAUAAACUUGCAGCCUUCAAAGCUCCAUAUAAAGAUCUAGUGACUUCUUUAAGCCUUA
rnacentral:tRNA from 1 species